rnacentral:rRNA from 1 species
GUGGGAUGCUAGAGUGUAGGCUUUGCCUGCUAUCUCUUACCCAUGUCUUUUGAGUACCUUCGUUUCCUCGGUGGGUUCGCCCGCCGAUUGGACAAAACUUAAACCCUUUGUAGUUGCAAUCAGCGUCUGAAAAAACUUAAUAGUUACAACUUUCAACAACGGAUCUCUUGGUUCUGGCAUCGAUGAAGAACGCAGCGAAAUGCGAUAAGUAGUGUGAAUUGCAGAAUUCAGUGAAUCAUCGAAUCUUUGAACGCACAUUGCGCCCCUUGGUAUUCCAUGGGGCAUGCCUGUUCGAGCGUCAUUUGUACCUUCAAGCUCUGCUUGGUGUUGGGUGUUUGUCUCGCCUUUGCGUGUAGACUCGCCUCAAAACAAUUGGCAGCCGGCGUAUUGAUUUCGGAGCGCAGUACAUCUCGCGCUUUGCACUCAUAACGACGACGUCCAAAAAGUACAUUUUUACACUCUUGACCUCGGAUCAGGUAGGGAUACCCGCUGAACUUAAGCAUAUCAAUAGGCGGGAGGAAGGA